rnacentral:rRNA from 1 species
AAAAAGCAUUGCUUAUUGCACCACAUGUGUUUUUCUUUGAAACAAACUUGCUUUGGCGGUGGGCCCAGCCUGCCGCCAGAGGUCUAAACUUACAACCAAUUUUUUAUCAACUUGUCACACCAGAUUAUUACUAAUAGUCAAAACUUUCAACAACGGAUCUCUUGGUUCUCGCAUCGAUGAAGAACGCAGCGAAAUGCGAUACGUAAUAUGAAUUGCAGAUAUUCGUGAAUCAUCGAAUCUUUGAACGCACAUUGCGCCCUCUGGUAUUCCGGAGGGCAUGCCUGUUUGAGCGUCGUUUCUCCCUCAAACCGCUGGGUUUGGUGUUGAGCAAUACGACUUGGGUUUGCUUGAAAGACGGUAGUGGUAAGGCGGGAUCGCUUUGACAAUGGCUUAGGUCUAACCAAAAACAUUGCUUGCGGCGGUAACGUCCACCACGUAUAUCUUCAAACUUUGACCUCAAAUCAGGUAGGACUACCCGCUGAACUUAAGCAUAUCAAAAGCCGGAGGAA